AAAUAAAUAAUAGGAACUAUUUUAACCUUAAUGAAGUGAUAUUUUUAGAGACAGAAUGGCACCAAAUGAGGCGCAAGAAACCUGUUAUAUCCUUCUCAAAUUCGCAAACGGAGAAUUGGGAAUGGGAACUCUAGAUUUCAUUAAGAAACCCAUUCUACAUGUUGGUUUGUUUUCAAGGGGGGCACAAGUUCAAGAUCUUAUACGGGAUGAAACUGAAAUUGCUGUUGUAUAAGCUUGAUUUUCUUAGAAUACUUGUUAAAUUUAAUAAUCAGAGGUGUGCGUUGACAAUUUCAAGGUGGCCAAAAGAUCAACAGUUUUCUUUCAAGAUUCCUGUUGUAGAUACGUCAAGUUUCAGAAAGUGGCCUUUGAAAGCUGCCACUCUUCUGGCAUGUUCUGAUAAGAAACGAGAUAUCAUACAGAGAAGAAAUGAUAUGGCUGCACAGAAAACAAUCUUGAAUUCUCAAGAGUUACGAGAAGCAAUGACAGUGUCUGAAGAUGAAAGUGAUAACGAAGAUGAUAAUGAAGAUGACAGCAGUGCAGAUGAAAAUAGAAAUGCAAUCCCGAAAGAGUCACCACUGCCAUCACCUAAGUCAUUCGCAACUUGUUCGCGACCAAACAUAUCGACUGCAAAUAACAAGUUCGUCACACCCAGCCUUUUUGAUUCAAGCUUCACCAGGAGGUAACGGUGUGUAACUUAAAAACAACGCCGUCUUAUCCAAGUUAUCAAAUAUUUCUUCCUCGCCACCGUUUACUCCAUUACAUUCAAGAAUCAAUAAUGAACGUCACCAGUAUGGAACUCCAGUUACUGGGAAACGGACGAUUCGCCAAGAAAAUGAACUGUUAAGGUCUAAAGUUGAAAAGCUUAAAGAAACCAUGGCUUCUAAAGAAGAUCAACUUAAAACGCAGGAAGAAGAAAUGCAGAGAAUGGAAGAGGAACUGGCUGCAACGAAAUCUAAUAUGCUAGAUAAUCCAUAUCUGUUCUUUCCCAUACCUUGAAGGAAGGUUUGCAGUUGCUGCAAUCAAUAAUUUCUACGGCUGGUGAACAUCAUCUCCUCUUCAAGACAGGACCAGGAAUACAGCUUUGACAGCUAGUGGUUUUCAGAAGGUAAAACUUAGCCGAACGUGUGCUACUCUCAUUAAUCCGAAUGCCCUGAAAAACGCUGUCAGUUACGGGAAUGGAGGCAAGAAAACAACGGACAUGAAUGCGAUGAUAAAUAUUAUCAUGGAGGACAUUUGGGACAGAAAAUUCAUGUCCGAGCAUUCUCUUAGUGGAAAUGAAGCAAAAAAUGACAAGUCUGACAAACCAGCGAAGCCUGCCCUACCCAAUGAUUCCGUUCAGGCAAUCAUAAGUAUUCAUUUUAUACUUUAUAGAAAAAAAACCAAUGCAUAACAAUUUACCCUUUCGCAUUUUUUUUAGAUUAUGUCACCGAAUUUUGGAGAAAGCAAUACACCUUCACCCUGGAAGCAAAGCACAUUAGGAGUGCUAUCAGUAACAAACUCUCGACCGAAAACUCGGCGUUCAAGAAAAGAUCAAAAAUUGUUGCAUCAGAAACUGCCAGAAAUAAUUUAACCGCUGAUGAUGAUGGACAACCUAAUGGUGCUGCUGGCGGUGAUGAAGACGAAGAUGACGAAAUAGCAAAUUAAUUAUUUAAAUAACUCUUACAUGUUCAUUUUAAAUCAUCAGCAGUUCUGCUGAGCAAAUUAAUUAU
rnacentral:lncRNA from 1 species